CCUAUAACGUUGCCUCGGCGGGAACAGACGGCCCCGUAACACGGGCCGCCCCCGCCAGAGGACCCCCUAACUCUGUUUCUAUAAUGUUUCUUCUGAGUAAACAAGCAAAUAAAUUAAAACUUUCAACAACGGAUCUCUUGGCUCUGGCAUCGAUGAAGAACGCAGCGAAAUGCGAUAAGUAAUGUGAAUUGCAGAAUUCAUUGAAUCAUCGAAUCUUUGAACGCACAUUGCGCCCGCCAGUAUUCUGGCGGGCAUGCCUGUUCGAGCGUCAUUACAACCCUCAGGCCCCCGGGCCUGGCGUUGGGGAUCGGCGGAAGCCCCCUGCGGGCACAACGCCGUCCCCCAAAUACAGUGGCGGUCCCGCCGCAGCUUCCAUUGCGUAGUAGCUAACACCUCGCAACUGGAGAGCGGCGCGGCCACGCCGUAAAACACCCAACUUCUGAAUGUUGACCUCGAAUCAGGUAGGAAUACCCGCUGAACUUAAGCAUAUCAAUAAGCGGAGG
rnacentral:rRNA from 1 species